CCUACGGGUGGCAGCAGUGAGGAAUAUUGGUCAAUGGACGGGAGACUGAACCAGCCAAGUAGCGUGAAGGAUGAAUGCCCAGAGUAUUGUAAACUUCUUUUAUCUGGGAAUAAAAUGUUCCACGUGUGGGAUUUUGUAUGUACCUGAUGAAUAAGGAUCGGCUAACUCCGUGCCAGCAGCCGCGGUAAUACGGAGGAUCCGAGCGUUAUCCGGAUUUAUUGGGUUUAAAGGGAGCGUAGAUGGGUUGUUAAGUCAGUUGUGAAAGUUUGCGGCCCAACCGGAAAAUUGCAAUUGAUACUGGCAGUCUUGAGUACAGUUGAGGUAGGUGGAAUUCGUGGUGUAGCGGUGAAAUGCUUAGAUAUCACGAAGAACCCCGAUUGCGAAGGCAGCUUACUAAACUGUGACUGACACUGAUGCGCGAAAGUGUGGGUAUCAAACAGGAUUAGAUACCCUAGUAGUC
rnacentral:rRNA from 1 species